AGAAAAUACAAGUUCUUGUGUGCUGGUGUUUUGGGUUUGUAUGGUUUGAUGCAGGUAACCACAUCAGUGAGUCUGUGAGCUCAUGACUAGGCCAUGGCCUGAAAAGAGCGUUCCGCAGCCCUCUUCCACACUCCCCGGCUCUUACAGCCUCUUGUUCCAGUGUUCCCUGACCCUCAGGAUUGGGGAAGGAGGUACAAUUGAUAUAAAUGUCGAUGAUAUCAAUGGGA